GCGGGGCUUCGGUGGCACUAUUGUCAUGGAGACGAGAAGCCGACGGCAGCGUGCAGCCGGGACAGGAUUCGGGGCGGAGGGGGUUGCGAGCCCGCCGACACUGGAGCGAGGCGCAGCGGCCAGCACAGCCCGAACCCGGGAAGCGCGGAGCAGGCCAGUGGCGGCCUCUCGGCUCACCCUCCAGGGCUCGGGGCGGUCGUGGUGGCGGCAGGGAGCAGCCGGAGCGUCCCCGCCCCGCUGCCUGGGCUCCCGCCUCCCGCGGCCGCGCGGCUCCUCGGCGCCCGCCCCCGGCUCCGCCCGCCGCCACCGCUGCAGCCCUCAGCGCUAACGGUCGGUGGCAGCCCGCGUGCGCCGCCCGCCGGGGACUCGCGCCUGCCACGAGGGAGCGUCCGCGUCCCGCGAGCCCGCUCCGCGGAGCAGAGGAGUCCACAGUUCCUGAUGGAUCUAGUGUCCUGGCUGUAGGAAGAGGAGAGUCUGCAGACAGGAAGUUCACCACCCACUCACGGAGCAGCCGUGUCCUUAACGGAUCCGGUGGAAUCUGCAAGGUGUGGAGUAUCAGCUCAUCAUCGGUCACACAGAUGGGUAAACCAAGUCCCCUUUCCUGCAUCCGCCUCCCACACGAGCGCAGUGUGUAGUGAUUAAUUUCACUUUCUGUGUCUCAAUCCUUGAGCCAGAAGGCUUCUGCGGAGGCUCCUGACUCAGGGAAACCUGUUUCCUGGAUCAUCUCGGUUAGACACACAGCUGCCGCCAAGACGCUCCCUUUGCAAGCACGGGUUUUAAAUUAUGGCCAGUCCAGAGGCCGAGCUGGAAGAACACCUGUCAGGGACGGUUUUUCUACCAGGAGAUGGUCUCUUUCAUCGCAUUUCACUGUAGUUCAGAGAAAGGUUCAUUUGAAAAUGUGGCACCUGCUUCUAGGAUUCAAGCUCCUCUGCUGAAACACCAGUUUGGAAUUUAUUUCUGACGUUAUUCUAUGGUGCAACGAGAAACUGCGACAAAGUGUCUAAAAGGGAAGGAAGGACUUUCCCAGACUUGAUUUGCAACUUUCCCUGGUGAAAAAAAAAAAAAUCUAAAAAAAUGUAUUUUUCAACUUUUCUGUGUGAAUAUAAUUAAUGAAAGGAAUUCUUUGGAGCAAACUUGAACAACAUUGGAGGGAGAUGGUGAAAACAUUUCAUGAACGCUGGGUGAUUUUCCUGUGUUGAGAUUGGUUACAUUUAUCUGUGAACGAUGCCAAGUAUCACUGAUACUGACUGGUGCUUGGAGAGACUUUGAACUUGGCUCUCAUGGGGAGCACCCUGAAGUCCGUUCAUCGCAGGUACUUUCUCACGUCCGCAGACCCCAUUGUGUAACGAUCAGAAGACAAACUUCAUUUUGCAAACUGUGAUUUAAUGGUAGAACAGUGUGCAGACCCGAAUAUCAGUUAAUUUUCAAAACAUUUUAUUCUACACCAAUUAGCUCAGGUCCUGGAAGGCAGAAUGACAAGAGGUUACUCAUUCGCUAUGUAUUUAAUUAAUUGAAAAAUGCUCAAAUUGCUUUUACAGUUGUUAUUAAAAAGUAGAAUCAGUGUUGCCAGUGCUCAACCAUAAUUGGAACCCCAGGGAAUUAAAUAUUUAGCAUUAGUAAUGUAACAGCACUUAGGACACAAAUUUCUAUUUUCGUAAUGAAAGCUAUACACUGCGAGUGCAAGCAGCAGAAAGGACAGAUGUGACAAGCCGAGCGGCCUGGGAUAUUUCAAUAAGACACCUCAUUGGACAGCAAGUCUUACCACAUUACCCGUUUGUAAGAGACCUGCAAGUUUAAUUCCCAACAGAAACCCGUUACCCAAGUAUUUAGAUUUCUAAUUGCAUCCGGGACGAACAGCCGGGCAAAUGUCUUGCUGUAAGGGGCUGGAAAUGUAGGCCGCUUUCUGAAUAAUCCUAUAUAAGUUCAUGCCUUUGUCAAUUUAAAAAUAGCGGGACUGCCCGAGAAUAAAGAUCUUGUUUGUUUUAAGUUUAAUUACAUUUUAGGCAUACAUGUUUUCAGUGCUACAGUGAGAAAACUUGGAUGUGGAGCUCUAAUGAGCUGUAGUGGUAGACGGCUGGAGACCCUGAGGGAUUCACUCCGUAAAUUAACUGGAUAAAAGUACUUGGUUAGGAUAUGGUUGAUGGCUGAGCUGUUCUUAAAACCCAGUUAUAGAGCUGUCUCUCACCGCUGUUUUCAUUCUAAACAGGCCCUGUAGAGACUUAAACAGCCGCCUGUUACAACUGUUCAACUUGUCAAAAUGUGUUAUAUGACUUCACUAAUAAAUAGUAUUAAAGGGUAUUUGACUUCGUUUCUGGUUUUCAGAGGGGAUCAGGUUGAUAAACACAACUGGCUUAGGUUGGCCUUCUUUUAAUUUGUUUAUGUCAUCUAAGUAACAUGGGAGGCCCACGCUUGGAAUUUGCAAACGUUACUUUCCUGGAGACGUAAAACUUACGAUAGAAUAUGUACCAUGGAAACAAUGAGUGGAGACUAUUUAUUACAGAAUGUUUGUUCUUGAAAGAUGGAUGACUUUGGCGUUCUCAGCUUGCGUUCCA
ensembl:lincRNA